rnacentral:rRNA from 1 species
AUUGAACGCUGGCGGCAUGCUUUACACGUGCAAGUCGAACGGCAGCGCGGGCUUCGGCCUGGCGGCGAGUGGCGAACGGGUGAGUAAUACAUCGGAACGUGCCCAGUAGUGGGGGAUAGCUCGGCGAAAGCCGGAUUAAUACCACAUACGACCUGAGGGUGAAAGCGGGGGAUCUUCGGACCUCGCGCUAUUGGAGCGGCCGAUGGCAGAUUAGCUAGUUGGUGGGGUAAAGGCCUACCAAGGCGACGAUCUGUAGCUGGUCUGAGAGGACAACCAGCCACACUGGGACUGAGACACGGCCCAGACUCCUACGGGAGGCAGCAGUGGGGAAUUUUGGACAAUGGGCGAAAGCCUGAUCCAGCAAUGCCGCGUGUGUGAUGAAGGCCUUCGGGUUGUAAAGCACUUUUGGCGGGAACGAAAAGGACUGUGCCAAUACCACGGUUCGAUGACGGUACCCGCAGAAUAAGCACCGGCUAACUACGUG